ensembl:lincRNA
CCUGCUUGAAGAAGGACAACGUGGUGUUGCGUCUUUCGUGCUGGUCGGGGUGGAUGCGACAUUCUCUCAGUAGGUAGUAUAAAAUUUGGGGAUCAGUGAGGAAGAAGACAUUGAGGUCACACCUCCAGAAUUCAGGAGUCCUGGAUCCUUCCAGUUCUGGUUAAUCUUACAUCUUCAGAUAGCCCAGAGUUAUUGAGCUGUCCUCUCCUCAGUGAAGCAUACCAGACAGACCUCUGACCAGAUUGCCUCCCAUGGCAGACAUUGCUAAUUGAUAACAAUCCUCUGCCCUCUACGUCUAGUCCUGAAUUUCAGUUCUUCCUCCAUUACUGGGCAGUACCAAUCACAAAUGAGUGUCUUCCCACUGCGAAGAAAGGGGAAGGAGAAUUAGCAGCUUCCUGUCUGAGGACU